UAAGCAGAUAGUGAAAUUGUGUGGCUCAACCAUACACCCAUUAUCUAAACUGCUAAGCUAGAGGGCGAGAGAGGUAGCUAGAAUUCCUUGUGUAGGAGUGAAAUCCGUAGAUAUAAGGAGGAAUACCGAUGGCGUAGGCAGGCUACUGGCUCGUCCCUGACACUAAGGCACGAAAGCGUGGGAGCGACCGGGAUUAGAUACCCCGUUAGUCCACGCCGUAAACUAUGGAUACUA
rnacentral:rRNA from 1 species